GCGCCCGUAGCUCAACUGGAUAGAGUGUUUGGCUUCGAACCAAAAGGUUGGGGGUUCAAGUCCCUCCGGGCGCA
rnacentral:tRNA from 1 species